rnacentral:lncRNA from 1 species
AAGCUGGGCCAGGUCAGGGCACAACCAACACACAGCCAGGCAUGCAGCGCAAAGUUGCCUGUUUUCCUGCCCCAUCUCCUGCUUUACUGUGCUGAGCUGGGACAGCGUGUGUGAAGCAGCCCAAGCCCACAUCCUAGCUGCACCCAGGUUGUGGGCACCAGAGCGGUGGUCUGAGGAACAGAGGUUGACUGGAGUCGGUGGAAGAGAGCAGAGUCUGGUACGAGACCACGCACGCCCAGAGGGUGGGAGGAGGAGUUCCCUGGUAACUAGUGCACAGAGGAUGAGCUGAAGGACUUGUAAGAUGGUUAGAUCCCUACCUCAUGCCACCCACGGAAACAGAGUCCAGGUGGAGGGAUGGCUUUACAGAGAGCAUGGGGACCUAACUGCAAAGAAAAAGAAACAUGAUAUUUUAAUAAAAAUGUGCUGGAGAAAUUUUUCUCAA